AACGAACGCUGGCGGCAUGCCUUGCACAUGCAAGUCGAACGGUAACGGGCCUUCGGGUGCCGACGAGUGGCGAACGGGUGAGUAAUGCAUCGGAACGUACCUUUCAGUGGGGGAUAACGUAGCGAAAGUUACGCUAAUACCGCAUAUUCUGUGAGCAGGAAAGCAGGGGAUCGCAAGACCUUGCGCUGAUUGAGCGGCCGAUGUCAGAUUAGCUAGUUGGUGAGGUAAAGGCUCACCAAGGCGACGAUCUGUAGCGGGUCUGAGAGGAUGAUCAGCCACACUGGAACUGAGACACGGUCCAGACUCCUACGGGAGGCAGCAGUGGGGAAUUUUGGACAAUGGGGGCAACCCUGAUCCAGCCAUGCCGCGUGAGUGAAGAAGGCCUUCGGGUUGUAAAGCUCUUUCGGUCGGGAAGAAAUCGCAUGGGUUAAUACCCUGUGCGGAUGACGGUACCGGCAUAAGAAGCACCGGCUAACUACGUGCCAGCAGCCGCAGUAACAC
rnacentral:rRNA from 1 species